rnacentral:rRNA from 1 species
AGAGUGGCGCACGGGUGAGUAACGCGUGGGAACCUGCCUUUUUCUGCGGGAUAACGGUUGGAAACGACCGCUAAUACCCCAUAUGCCGAGAGGUGAAAUGAAUUUCGCCUGAGGAUGAGCUCGCGUCUGAUUAGCUAGUUGGUGGGGUAAGAGCCUACCAAGGCGACGAUCAGUAGCUGGUCUGAGAGGAUGAUCAGCCACACUGGGACUGAGAUACGGCCCAGACUCC